GAUGAACGCUGGCGGCGUGCCUAAUACAUGCAAGUCGAGCGAACGGACGAGAAGCUUGCUUCUCUGAUGUUAGCGGCGGACGGGUGAGUAACACGUGGAUAACCUACCUAUAAGACUGGGAUAACUUCGGGAAACCGGAGCUAAUACCGGAUAAUAUUUUGAACCGCAUGGUUCAAAAGUGAAAGACGGUCUUGCUGUCACUUAUAGAUGGAUCCGCGCUGCAUUAGCUAGUUGGUAAGGUAACGGCUUACCAAGGCAACGAUGCAUAGCCGACCUGAGAGGGUGAUCGGCCACACUGGAACUGAGACACGGUCCAGACUCCUACGGGAGGCAGCAGUAGGGAAUCUUCCGCAAUGGGCGAAAGCCUGACGGAGCAACGCCGCGUGAGUGAUGAAGGUCUUCGGAUCGUAAAACUCUGUUAUUAGGGAAGAACAUAUGUGUAAGUAACUGUGCACAUCUUGACGGUACCUAAUCAGAAAGCCACGGCUAACUACGUGCCAGCAGCCGCGGUAAUACGUAGGUGGCAAGCGUUAUCCGGAAUUAUUGGGCGUAAAGCGCGCGUAGGCGGUUUUUUAAGUCUGAUGUGAAAGCCCACGGCUCAACCGUGGAGGGUCAUUGGAAACUGGAAAACUUGAGUGCAGAAGAGGAAAGUGGAAUUCCAUGUGUAGCGGUGAAAUGCGCAGAGAUAUGGAGGAACACCAGUGGCGAAGGCGACUUUCUGGUCUGUAACUGACGCUGAUGUGCGAAAGCGUGGGGAUCAAACAGGAUUAGAUACCCUGGUAGUCCACGCCGUAAACGAUGAGUGCUAAGUGUUAGGGGGUUUCCGCCCCUUAGUGCUGCAGCUAACGCAUUAAGCACUCCGCCUGGGGAGUACGACCGCAAGGUUGAAACUCAAAGGAAUUGACGGGGACCCGCACAAGCGGUGGAGCAUGUGGUUUAAUUCGAAGCAACGCGAAGAACCUUACCAAAUCUUGACAUCCUUUGACAACUCUAGAGAUAGAGCCUUCCCCUUCGGGGGACAAAGUGACAGGUGGUGCAUGGUUGUCGUCAGCUCGUGUCGUGAGAUGUUGGGUUAAGCCCCGCAACGAGCGCAACCCUUAAGCUUAGUUGCCAUCAUUAAGUUGGGCACUCUAAGUUGACUGCCGGUGACAAACCGGAGGAAGGUGGGGAUGACGUCAAAUCAUCAUGCCCCUUAUGAUUUGGGCUACACACGUGCUACAAUGGACGAUACAAAGGGCAGCGAAACCGCGAGGUCAAGCAAAUCCCAUAAAGUUGUUCUCAGUUCGGAUUGUAGUCUGCAACUCGACUACAUGAAGCUGGAAUCGCUAGUAAUCGUAGAUCAGCAUGCUACGGUGAAUACGUUCCCGGGUCU
rnacentral:rRNA from 1 species